UAGGGAAUCUUCGGCAAUGGACGAAAGUCUGACCGAGCAACGCCGCGCGAGUGAAGAAGGUUUUCGGAUCGUAAAACUCUGUUGUUAGAGAAGAACAAGGACGUUAGUAACUGAACGUCCCCUGACGGUAUCUAACCAGAAAGCCACGGCUAACUACGUGCCAGCAGCCGCGGUAAUACGUAGGUGGCAAGCGUUGUCCGGAUUUAUUGGGCGUAAAGCGAGCGCAGGCGGUUUCUUAAGUCUGAUGUGAAAGCCCCCGGCUCAACCGGGGAGGGUCAUUGGAAACUGGGAGACUUGAGUGCAGAAGAGGAGAGUGGAAUUCCAUGUGUAGCGGUGAAAUGCGUAGAUAUAUGAAGGAACACCAGUGGCGAAGGCGGCUCUCUGGUCUGUAACUGACGCUGAGGCUCGAAAGCGUGGGGAGCAAACAGG
rnacentral:rRNA from 1 species